rnacentral:rRNA from 1 species
UACGGAGGGUGCAAGCGUUAAUCGGAAUUACUGGGCGUAAAGCGCACGCAGGCGGUCUGUCAAGUCGGAUGUGAGAUCCCCGGGCUCAACCUGGGAACUGCAUUCGAAACUGGCAGGCUAGAGUCUUGUAGAGGGGGGUAGAAUUCCAGGUGUAGCGGUGAAAUGCGUAGAGAUCUGGAGGAAUACCGGUGGCGAAGGCGGCCCCCUGGGAUAACACUGACGCUCAUGCACGAAAGCGUGGGGAGCAAACAGG